UAUAGGGGGGGCAAGCGUUGUUCGGAAUUACUGGGCGUAAAGGGCUCGUAGGCGGCCAACUAAGUCGGACGUGAAAUCCCUCAGCUUAACUGGGGAACUGCGUCCGAUACUGGAUGGCUUGGAUUUGGGAGAGGGAUGCGGAAUUCCAGGUGUAGCGGUGAAAUGCGUAGAUAUCUGGAGGAACACCGGUGGCGAAGGCGGCAUCCUGGACCGGUAUUGACGCUGAUGCGCGAAAGCCAGGGGAGCAAACGGG
rnacentral:rRNA from 1 species